GGGACGGGCCGGGGCCGAUGAGAGGGCAGCGGCAGAUGGGGCGAGGCUCCACGGAUCAGCGAAGUGAUUCCCGCGAUUGUUACCCAGACGCUGUCCGGGGGAAAAGAGAGCCGUCCCCCUCCUGAAGCCGUGUGCGCUGUGAAACACAGGAAAGCAAUUUGCCGGCGCGAAGCCUCGGGAAGCCCCGGCCAUGCGAUGCGGCUCUCCGCUGCGCUGCCCCGCGGCGGCCGGGCCCGCUGCGCCCUGCCCGUGCCCGCCCCGCGCCCGCGCUGCGCCGGCCGGGCCCCUCGGAACCCACAGCUCCCGGCGCUCAGAGCGUGCCGCACACGUGAGCCAGCUGGCGACGCAAAAUCAGCCCCUC